AAUUCUGCUUUUGUCUAAACUUUUUCCCUAACCGCUACCUUCAAGGCCGAUUCUUUUUCAUGCUGUUGUCUCUUCACAAGUCCCUCACCAAUACUCUUCAUUGCCGUCGCUUAUCCGUCAUCCUUUUCUCAAUUCAAUAUUUCUCUAGGAGUCGCUGUCUCUGCUGCUUCUAACCCCCCGGCCUCCAAAUAUGCAGGGAUGGCGACUGAAUAAGAAGCCCGGUUUCCGCAAAAGCCAAAUCGCAACGGGUGGAAUUUGGAACGGAAGAACCUCGGGUGUCACGUGACUGGCGCAGGUCACCUCCCCGACACGGGACAGGGCAACGUCACUAUGAAGGCAUGGCCUGCGGGGCGGAAGGGCCGGCCUGAGGAGACUUGAGGCCUGAAUGCCAACUGAAGGAUUUGCCACCCUCGUACACUUGUAAAGUCUCUCUAUAUUAUGAAUAAUCUGAUGAUGGGAAUGAUCAGCCUAUUACUGAAGCUCUGACCACACACAUUAUAUUUAUGAUUCCCUCCAAUCUAGACUGGAGGGAUUGACUGCACUCUAAAUGUAUGGCUUCUCACCAGCAUGAAUUUUGUAAAAACCAAAUGGCUUCCGAAACACAUAACACAGGCACUAGGAACUGCCUGAUGCGGAGUUAAGGAUGACUGUGCAAUAAAACGUUUGUCACAAUUGU